UGUCAGAGAUGAGAAUAAAAAAGAACGUUCAGGAAGCACAGAAAACAAAGGCCGAUUGGUCGAGACUAUAGACACGGACUCAAAAGGCUUCACAUCACAACUCGAACCUAUGUCAAGUAAUUUGAGUUUAAAGAACUGCUUUAGUCUGUUUUUUUACAAAUUCACAGUGUGCUAUACUAGAGAACUCAGUUAUGUAGUCAGGUGAUUAGGUCCUGAUAUAACAAUUCAAAACAUGUUAAGGUUACCAAACAUUCCCACAUGGAAUGGAAGCAAAAAUACUUUGAAACUGCACCCUUUUUCAAUUUCCUUCCUCUUCCGCUU